UGAUCAUCUUUUCCAUCCCAUUUAUUAAUAAAAAAGUACUUUGUACUGACUGACCUAAUUGUGCAUCUUCAUCUUCACAGAAGGCUUUGGAUGUCCGGUGAAACUUUAGUCAUUCUUCCACCUUCUUCUUUCAAUCGUUGAUGUUUAGGUUUUUUCCCACUAUCCUCAUAAGUUUUGUCUCGAAAAUUUAAGUGGGAUGAAGCGUAGGAACUUCAUAUUCAAAAUAUCUUCCCAAUUUCUCCAUUUCUCAUAGGGAAUGUCGACAAAAAAAAUUGAGAGCGUUGCAUGCCUUGAAGGAAGGUUGCAGGUUCUAUCCUUUUUGCUAAAAAGUUUGGUUCCCACUGUUUGGGUAAAAAAUUGAAAUUGAAGAGUUGCUUAAAAAAGGAAAGAGACAUUCUUUUUGGGACUAAAAGGAAAGUAAGACAAAUAAAUUCUACCGGAUGGAGCAAUUCUUCUUUGAAUUCCUCUGUUGUGUUAUUAUCAAGUCACGAUAUAUGAUUCAUUUAUCACAUUAUGACAAAUUGAAUUUAUUAACUAGGACAGAGAAUGCAACCGACUCUUCUCAGCAUCUGUCACUUCUCUAGAUAUUAGACAUCAUAUGAGAAAUUCAAGAACAAUGGACAUCUCUAUGUUUCCUUUUGAGAGUGAUUGCGUCACCUCACUUUGGUUCAUUGUUUUUUCGUUAGAGAAGAUCCAAUUAUUACCAAAUCAAAAUUGGAUUUAUAUGAGCAAAAAGGUGUUUGCCUUUGUACUUCUGCUGCAAUUGUGAGUGCUACUUUCAUUUAUCAAUUUCCGUUUUCGUUUAAGAUAUGGAACAGUGGAAGUAUUUCUGUUGAAUCUGAUUGUAUAAGUUCAAUUUUAAUAGGUCAGCUUGUAACUUUUUGGGAGGUAGCCAGCAUACCCUUAAUGCUGAAGAAUACAACUUUAACUUUUAUAAAAAAAAAAGGUUCAAUUUUAAUAGGUACUACUUAUGUCAUUUUGUUUUGGAUAUGUGGAAUGCCUAUUAUUACCUACGAAGACAUUCUAACUUAAGUACUUAUUCAAUGUACUUUUACAUUAGUGUAGUAGUGGUGGCUUUAUGUUUUCCUUUCAACUUUACCCUGUGUUACAAAGUAUCCAUCACAUUAAAAUGUUAAAUGUUGUACAAAAUAUAAUGUGAGUGGUACUUUUACUUGGACUAUUGUUUACACGUGUGCACUACCCAUAACCAAACCCUCUCCUCUUUCAGUGACAUGUGGAUUCCACUUUCGCUGCUCAAUUGAUUUCUACUAUCUUUCAUACCCAUUUCUUCCUUCUUUUAGUCUUCACAUUGGAAGAUACAGUAAUGUCG